GUACUUGCUUCGGCGGUGCAUAUACCAAGUUAAUUAAACGAUACGAAGAAGAUUAGUGUAGCCCCUGCGCAAGGAUGAUCAUUUUAAAAAAAUUAAAAAAAUAAGA